CGCGUAGGUGGUUAAUUAAGUUGGAUGUGAAAUCCCUGGGCUUAACCUAGGAACUGCAUUUAAUACUGAUUGACUAGAGCGUGGUAGAGGGUAGUGGAAUUUCCGGUGUAGCGGUGAAAUGCGUAGAUAUCGGAAGGAACACCAGUGGCGAAGGCGGCUACCUGGACUAACACUGACACUGAGGCGCGAGAGCGUGGGGAGCAAACAGGAUUAGAUACCCUGGUAGUCCACGCUGUAAACGAUGAGAACUAGAUGUUGGUAGGCAUGACCUAUUAGUAUCCGAAGCUAACGCGAUAAGUUCUCCGCCUGGGGAGUACGGCCGCAAGGUUAAA
rnacentral:rRNA from 1 species